GGCCAAAAGGUCAGGACAGGCCAAAAGAUGAGGCCAAAAGGUCAGGUAAGGCCAAAAGACAAGGCCAGGCCAAAAGACGAGGCCAAAAGGUCAGGACAGGCCAAAAGACAAGGCCAGGCCAAAAAACAAGGCCAGGCCACAUCCGGCCAAAAGGCCAAAGUAUGCCAAAAAGCAAGGCAAGGCCAAAAGGACAGGCCAGACCAAAAGACCAGGCCAUACCAAAAGAUAAGGCCAGGCCAAAAGGCAAGGCCAAAUGACCGGGCCAGGUCAAAAGCUCAGGCCACAAGACUGGGACAGACCAAAAGUUCAGGCCAAAAGGCCAUGCCAGGCCAAAAGGCCAGGACAAAAGGCCAUGCCAGGCCAAAGGUGAGGGAAACAGGCCAGGAAAGGCCAAAAGUUAAGUCCAGGCCAAAAGGCCAAGUGAGGCCAAAAGGCCAGGCGAGCCCAAGAGGCCAGGCCAAAAGGCCAGGCAAGGAAAAGAGGCCAGGCCAAAAAGACAGAAGAAACCAAGAGGCCAGGCCAAAAGGCCAGGCGAGGUCAGGUCAGACCAAAAGUCAGGUGAAGGCCAGACCAAACCCAAAGAAAAGGCGAGUCCAGUCCAGGCCCAAAGGUAAGGCGAGGUCAGGCCAGACCCAAAGGCAAAGCUGGGCCAAAGUACAGGCCAAAAGGCAAGUCAAGGCCAAAAGUCCAGGCCAAAAGAUGAGUGCAGGCCAAAAGAUGAGGCCAAAAGGCCAGGCCAGACCAAAAUUCCAGGACAAAAGGGCACGCCAGGCCAAAAGGCCUGGGCAAAAGGCCAUGCCAGGACAAAAGGCCAGGACAAAAGGCAAGGUCAGACCAAAAGGCCAGGCCAAAAGGCUAGGCCAGUGCAGACCAGGGCAAAACACCAGGCCAGGACAAAAGGCCAGGCCAGAACAAAAGGCCAGGCCAGACCAGGUCAGACCAAAAGGUAAGAGCAGGCUAAAAGGCCAGGACAAAGGACAAGGCCAGGACAAAGUCAAGGCAAAAUUCCAGGGUAGGCCAAAGGAUCAGGCCGAAAGGUAAGGCCAGGCCGAAAGACCAGGCAAGGCCAAAAGGCUAGGUCAAAAGGCCAGGCCAGAACAGAAGGCCAGGCAAGCCAAAAAGGCCAGGCCAGACCAGACCAGGUCAGACCAAAAGAAAAGGGCAGGCGAAUAGGCCAGGUCAAAAAAAAAGACCAGGACAAAAUUCCAG
rnacentral:lncRNA from 13 species